rnacentral:lncRNA from 1 species
CGGUGAUUACGAUAUGGCCAUAGGUCUAACCUUCCAGCUGCCUUCAAGAAGUGUUCGGAAUUAGAGUCGGAACUAAGAUCCAAAACCGAGACAAUAUAGGUUCAGCAAGUGCGGGAAGGUAGAUUGCUCCUCGGUGGAAACGGAAACACUUUGCCAGCAUGAUGGCCAGAUGUGUACGGUAUACAUUUGAUCGUGUGAAAAGAAACACCUAGUAACAUCGAACUGUGUUAAUUUUUCUUCUCCCAGCGGACUGGCUAAACUGUGUAUACUGUACCAGCAGCAUGCGGUCACAGAAAUUGUUAACCAAAACGAACAGUUGGUCACCGGGAGAACUAGUCUUCAACGUUAACCAUUGGAGAUGCAAAGCACAAGGAUAGCAUUAUCAUUGAAUCUGCAGGGUUGGAUCAUAACUGGGCUGCCGCUUAAGUUACACAAGUAGGGAAGCGUGGAUGUGGACAAUAGUUGGGCUACCAAACUGACCAUCUCGAGAAAGGUCAAGGUGAAAGAUGAUCUCGCCAAAGACGAAAAGCCACCCAAAUAAAGAUAAACUGACUAACUAACUGGUUAAAUUCAAUA